CCUCCCUUGACUCCACCCCCACUCUGGAAUGUUCUGGAAUGUUCCUCCCACUGUUGUUGUUGCUUGAUAUAGAAUAAUUCAAUAUUCUUCUAAGGCUUGGGUUACAUCCCAACAAAGGGUGCCAAUGGGGAGGGGGCCAUGUUAAUCCCUAAAAACUAAAGGAUUUCAGUCGGAAGUGACUUCACAAAUUGGCUAGUUCAUUUUAUGUCAAAACAGAAACCUCCUCUUCAACAUAUCUGACAAAUAUUUAACCAGCCUUUCCUGGGAGACUGCUAGUGAUAAGGAACUCACUACCUCAUAAGGCAGGCCAUUCUAUUUUUGGAUUGCUUGGAUUGUUUUGUUUUGUUCUUGUAUCAUACUAAAAUAUUCCUCCACACAUUCUGACCUCUUGGUCCUAAUUCUACCAUCUGGAUUUAAGCAGAAUAAGUCUACCCUUCAGAUACUUGAAGACAUGGGGACUGGAGUCAAUUCUUCAUUCUUUGGAGUGGAGGCUGGACCCGAGACCCUGUUCCUGGUGAGGCUGCUCUAAAAUGUCUUCCUUUGAACUGACAUGUGAAAACUGAAACACCAGCUGGGCCAUUUCAGCCGGGAAAAUUUGACCUUUCUUCUCUAUGUUUCUUAUACCUGCUUUCGUAUGGACAACAUCAA
rnacentral:lncRNA from 1 species